rnacentral:rRNA from 1 species
AACGAACGCUGGCGGCAGGCUUAACACAUGCAAGUCGAACGCCCCGCAAGGGGAGUGGCAGACGGGUGAGUAACACGUGGGAACCUUCCUCGUUGUACGGAACAACUCAGGGAAACUUGAGCUAAUACCGUAUACGUCCGAGAGAAGAAAGAUUUAUCGCAAUGAGACGGGCCCGCGUCGGAUUAGCUAGUUGGUGGGGUAACGGCCUACCAAGGCAACGAUCCGUAGCUGAUCUGAGAGGAUGAUCAGCCACACUGGGACUGAGACACGGCCCAGACUCCUACGGGAGGCAGCAGUGGGGAAUCGUGGACAAUGGGCGCAAGCCUGAUCCAGCCAUGCCGCGUGAGUGAAGAAGGCCUUCGGGUUGUAAAGCUCUUUUGUCAGGGACGAUAAUGACGGUACCUGAAGAAUAAGCCCCGGCAAACUUCGUGCCAGCAGCCGCCGUAA